rnacentral:lncRNA from 1 species
CAACCUUGUACUCCAGUUCUGACAUUCUGCUCCCCUGUGGCUGAGUCCCGGAUUGCAGAACCUGCUCAGGACCGCCAGAACCUGCUCAGGACCGCCAGUUCUUUUGAGGUAUUUGAGGGUACUUUUCUAUAAGCACCCUUGGGCCAGAGGCCUGGUGCGUUUGUGAUGGGUCAUCUGGCUGUUCUGUUAUUUGAAGCUCACCCAGGAGACUGCUCACUCUGGAGGCAGCACCCUGAAGAGCUCUGAGUAUCACUAACAAUCAGACUCUAGAUCCCAACUGGGGAGAAAUGUGAAUUCCACCCACUUGUUUCUCCAAUUUACCAGCACCAGAAAGGAAUGCCCACCUACAUUUAAAAAGUAAGUACUAAUACAGCAGGAGUGUAAUCUAGGGCCCCUGUUGGAAGGAGCUAUGGUUCAAAGCUGAGCUUAUUUUUUAAACUAUUGCCAUUUAUUUCCCCUCUUUUGACAGAAUAUGGGUGUUAUAUUUUUAAUAAUUUGUGAAUCAGAGGUGGAGUGGAGAGUACAGUAAAUACCAAAUAAACUGUCUUUUGGGUAUCUGUUGAAAUGGCACAAUAAUAAUUUGGUCCAAGGUAAAGCCUUUAC